rnacentral:rRNA from 1 species
GCUUACGGCCACACCACCCUGAGCGCGCCUAUAGGUCGUCUGAUCUCGGAAGCUAAGCAGGGUCGGGCCUGGUUAGUACUUGGAUGGGAGACCGCCUGGGAAUACCAGGUGCCGUAAGCU